UCAGCCUCCCAAAGUGCUGGUAUUACAGGGGUGAGCCACCAUACCUGGCCCAGCUUCCCCUAUAACUAAUAUCUCACAUGAGCAUGGUAUGUGUGUUGCAGUCAAUGAACAAAUAAUGACGUUUAUUACCUAAAAUCCAUAUUUUAUUCUGAUUUUCUUAGUUUAUACCAUCAACUGAACCUGUCUCCUUGCCUACUCUGCCACUUCCUAACUCUGCUGCCUGUUUUCUCUAAUUCUCUUCCAGGUCUUCAGAAACUAAUAGAGAAAAAUCACAGAACUGUGGUGAAGAUAUCAGAGAGUUGGGGCUGAGAACCACUGAGAAAGACUUGCUGAGGAUGACCUUAGAAGGAAGGACACCGUUAUGCUAAGACUAGAGGGAGAAUGGCUACAAUGUAGGUGAGUUUACAGUGAAAGCCAGAAAGCUGUGGGAUUU
rnacentral:lncRNA from 1 species